rnacentral:lncRNA from 12 species
UGCCCAUGAACAGCAAUUAAACUUGCAUUUCUUCUAAAGACUUCACAAAGGACAAAAGGUAAUUUCCAAAAUGCUAAAUUACUUCAUUUGAGCAGUAGAAAUAAAAGAUACAUGUGGAAAUAUAUCCUACAGUUCUUUGAGAAUAAAAGUGAGCAUGCCAAACAGUCUGUAAUCUCUUUAAAUUGUCACAGAUAACCCCAUUUCAGAGCAACAUUCUCUGUAUGAACAUUCUGAGCAGACACUGGUGGUAAUCCAAUGAAAAUCUGUCACCGUAGCCACCCAGAUCCAGUACGUAUCAGGAUCAGAUGGUGGAUCAGCACCUAAAGACUGUCACCCGAGACCAUGUCAACUAGAAGCAUCCCAGAGACAGAUCCUCUCUAAAGACUUCAUCACCUUGACAACCAUCACCAUCACCAGACCACAGGAACCAGACAAGUCCUCUGCACCUGUGUUGGAGGCUGGAAUUAAACCACACCAUGCUGGUUUCGUCAGGCCAGCGGAGAACUUGCCCCCCUGACUGAGCCUGGUUUCUCCCAAUGUUUUUUCUCUAUUUCUGUCACCGAUGGAGUUUUGUACAACCCAAAGAUCUAGAUUAGCUGUUUAAAUUUUAUUUUAUUAAAAACAAUCUAGAAGAAGCAUCAGCUCAAUGAAGUAAGGAUAAAUCCAUCCUUCCAUUAUUUCAAUGUCACAACAUAUUUCUGAACUUUUAUUAAUUAAUGAUUAAAAUCUUACAGUGAUUGGCUAACAUCUUAUGUUGUGCAUUUCUACCAUCCAACCCUACUGGUGGCUGAUGAAAUAUUUUAAAAAUUAUAUAUUGAAUAAGCAUUGGUUAACCAUUCAGACCAGACAUCUUUUAUACUAGAGAAAGCAAUAUUAUGGAUAGAGAACUCAAAAGGAUUGUGUGGAUUACUUUUUGAUUAUUGUGAUGUUUUUUUUUUUUUUUUUUGGACUCUCAUUCUGAUGGCACCCAUUCACUGCAGAAAUUCCACUGGUUAGCAAGUGAUGUAAUGCUAAAUUUCUCCAAAUCACAUUUAAUUUUACCUUGAUGGGUUUUGACUUUUUAAUGCUUUGAUAGAUUAAAUUUAUGUGACACCACCAAAUUAUGACCCAAAAAUAAACCUGUAACAACCAACUCCGAACUCUCCAACGUGCUAUAAAUGUUUGGGAGAAAUACUAAAACAGGUCAAACACUGAUCUAUCUCGCUCACAGCACAGUGACCCAGUUAGAGCAAAUCUUCACUUCUCAACUGGACACACACACACAUUUUUU